rnacentral:rRNA from 1 species
AUUACUGCGGCUGCUGGCAUGAAGUUAGCUGGGGCUUCUUCUGUAGGUACCGUCAUUAUCUUCCCUACUGAAAGAGCUUUACAACCCUAAGGCUUCAUCACUCACGCGGCAUGGCUGGAUCAGGCUUGCGCCCAUUGUCCAAUAUUCCCCACUGCUGCCUCCCGUAGG